rnacentral:rRNA from 1 species
UACGGAGGAUCCAAGCGUUAUCCGGAAUCAUUGGGCGUAAAGGGCGCGUAGGUGGCGGGACAAGCGUGCGGUGAAAGCCUGGGGCUCAACCCCGGGUCGGCCGUGCGAACUGUUUUGCUUGAGCACUGUAGAGGCAGGCGGAAUUCCGGGUGUAGCGGUGGAAUGCGUAGAGAUCCGGAAGAACACCGGUGGCGAAGGCGGCCUGCUGGGCAGUAGCUGACACUGAGGCGCGACAGCGUGGGGAGCAAACAGG